GUCCCUGUAGCUCAGCAGGAUAGAGCAACGGACUUCUAAUCCGUAGGUCGGGGGUUCGAAUCCCUCCGGGGACGCCA
rnacentral:tRNA from 1 species